GGGUGGUAAUGCCGGAUGCUCCGACUCCUCGCAUGGGGUGUCGGGAAAGAUUUCAUCGGUAUGGGAUGGGGUCGCGUCCUAUCAGGUAGUCGGCGGGGUAACGGCCCACCGAGCCUACGACGGGUAGCCGGCCUGAGAGGGCGACCGGCCACAUUGGGACUGAGAUACGGCCCAGACUCCUACGGGAGGCAGCAGUGGGGAAUAUUGCACAAUGGGCGCAAGCCUGAUGCAGCGACGCCGCGUGCGGGAUGACGGCCUUCGGGUUGUAAACCGCUUUUGAUCGGGAGCAAGCCUUCGGGUGAGUGUACCUUUCGAAUAAGCACCGGCUAACUACGUGCCAGCAGCCGCGGUAAUACGUAGGGUGCAAGCGUUAUCCGGAAUUAUUGGGCGUAAAGGGCUCGUAGGCGGUUCGUCGCGUCCGGUGUGAAAGUCCAUCGCUUAACGGUGGAUCUGCGCCGGGUACGGGCGGGCUGGAGUGCGGUAGGGGAGACUGGAAUUCCCGGUGUAACGGUGGAAUGUGUAGAUAUCGGGAA
rnacentral:rRNA from 1 species